rnacentral:rRNA from 1 species
UGGGGAAUAUUGCACAAUGGGGGAAACCCUGAUGCAGCGACGCCGCGUGAGUGAAGAAGUAAUUCGUUAUGUAAAGCUCUAUCAGCAGGGAAGAAAAUGACGGUACCUGAGUAAGAAGCCCGGCUAACUACGUGCC